GGUUAAGCGACUAAGCGUACACGGUGGAUGCCCUGGCAGUCAGAGGCGAUGAAGGACGUGCUAAUCUGCGAUAAGCGUCGGUAAGGUGAUAUGAACCGUUAUAACCGGCGAUUUCCGAAUGGGGAAACCCAGUGUGUUUCGACACACUAUCAUUAACUGAAUCCAUAGGUUAAUGAGGCGAACCGGGGGAACUGAAACAUCUAAGUACCCCGAGGAAAAGAAAUCAACCGAGAUUCCCCCAGUAGCGGCGAGCGAACGGGGAGCAGCCCAGAGCCUGAAUCAGUGUGUGUGUUAGUGGAAGCGUCUGGAAAGGCGCGCGAUACAGGGUGACAGCCCCGUACACAAAAAUGCACAUGCUGUGAGCUCGAUGAGUAGGGCGGGACACGUGGUAUCCUGUCUGAAUAUGGGGGGACCAUCCUCCAAGGCUAAAUACUCCUGACUGACCGAUAGUGAACCAGUACCGUGAGGGAAAGGCGAAAAGAACCCCGGCGAGGGGAGUGAAAAAGAACCUGAAACCGUGUACGUACAAGCAGUGGGAGCACGCUUAGGCGUGUGACUGCGUACCUUUUGUAUAAUGGGUCAGCGACUUAUAUUCUGUAGCAAGGUUAACCGAAUAGGGGAGCCGAAGGGAAACCGAGUCUUAACUGGGCGUUAAGUUGCAGGGUAUAGACCCGAAACCCGGUGAUCUAGCCAUGGGCAGGUUGAAGGUUGGGUAACACUAACUGGAGGACCGAACCGACUAAUGUUGAAAAAUUAGCGGAUGACUUGUGGCUGGGGGUGAAAGGCCAAUCAAACCGGGAGAUAGCUGGUUCUCCCCGAAAGCUAUUUAGGUAGCGCCUCGUGAAUUCAUCUCCGGGGGUAGAGCACUGUUUCGGCAAGGGGGUCAUCCCGACUUACCAACCCGAUGCAAACUGCGAAUACCGGAGAAUGUUAUCACGGGAGACACACGGCGGGUGCUAACGUCCGUCGUGAAGAGGGAAACAACCCAGACCGCCAGCUAAGGUCCCAAAGUCAUGGUUAAGUGGGAAACGAUGUGGGAAGGCCCAGACAGCCAGGAUGUUGGCUUAGAAGCAGCCAUCAUUUAAAGAAAGCGUAAUAGCUCACUGGUCGAGUCGGCCUGCGCGGAAGAUGUAACGGGGCUAAACCAUGCACCGAAGCUGCGGCAGCGACGCUUAUGCGUUGUUGGGUAGGGGAGCGUUCUGUAAGCCUGUGAAGGUGUGCUGUGAGGCAUGCUGGAGGUAUCAGAAGUGCGAAUGCUGACAUAAGUAACGAUAAAGCGGGUGAAAAGCCCGCUCGCCGGAAGACCAAGGGUUCCUGUCCAACGUUAAUCGGGGCAGGGUGAGUCGACCCCUAAGGCGAGGCCGAAAGGCGUAGUCGAUGGGAAACAGGUUAAUAUUCCUGUACUUGGUGUUACUGCGAAGGGGGGACGGAGAAGGCUAUGUUGGCCGGGCGACGGUUGUCCCGGUUUAAGCGUGUAGGCUGGUUUUCCAGGCAAAUCCGGAAAAUCAAGGCUGAGGCGUGAUGACGAGGCACUACGGUGCUGAAGCAACAAAUGCCCUGCUUCCAGGAAAAGCCUCUAAGCAUCAGGUAACAUCAAAUCGUACCCCAAACCGACACAGGUGGUCAGGUAGAGAAUACCAAGGCGCUUGAGAGAACUCGGGUGAAGGAACUAGGCAAAAUGGUGCCGUAACUUCGGGAGAAGGCACGCUGAUAUGUAGGUGAAGUCCCUCGCGGAUGGAGCUGAAAUCAGUCGAAGAUACCAGCUGGCUGCAACUGUUUAUUAAAAACACAGCACUGUGCAAACACGAAAGUGGACGUAUACGGUGUGACGCCUGCCCGGUGCCGGAAGGUUAAUUGAUGGGGUUAGCGCAAGCGAAGCUCUUGAUCGAAGCCCCGGUAAACGGCGGCCGUAACUAUAACGGUCCUAAGGUAGCGAAAUUCCUUGUCGGGUAAGUUCCGACCUGCACGAAUGGCGUAAUGAUGGCCAGGCUGUCUCCACCCGAGACUCAGUGAAAUUGAACUCGCUGUGAAGAUGCAGUGUACCCGCGGCAAGACGGAAAGACCCCGUGAACCUUUACUAUAGCUUGACACUGAACAUUGAGCCUUGAUGUGUAGGAUAGGUGGGAGGCUUAGAAGUGUGGACGCCAGUCUGCAUGGAGCCGACCUUGAAAUACCACCCUUUAAUGUUUGAUGUUCUAACGUUGACCCGUAAUCCGGGUUGCGGACAGUGUCUGGUGGGUAGUUUGACUGGGGCGGUCUCCUCCUAAAGAGUAACGGAGGAGCACGAAGGUUGGCUAAUCCUGGUCGGACAUCAGGAGGUUAGUGCAAUGGCAUAAGCCAGCUUGACUGCGAGCGUGACGGCGCGAGCAGGUGCGAAAGCAGGUCAUAGUGAUCCGGUGGUUCUGAAUGGAAGGGCCAUCGCUCAACGGAUAAAAGGUACUCCGGGGAUAACAGGCUGAUACCGCCCAAGAGUUCAUAUCGACGGCGGUGUUUGGCACCUCGAUGUCGGCUCAUCACAUCCUGGGGCUGAAGUAGGUCCCAAGGGUAUGGCUGUUCGCCAUUUAAAGUGGUACGCGAGCUGGGUUUAGAACGUCGUGAGACAGUUCGGUCCCUAUCUGCCGUGGGCGCUGGAGAACUGAGGGGGGCUGCUCCUAGUACGAGAGGACCGGAGUGGACGCAUCACUGGUGUUCGGGUUGUCAUGCCAAUGGCACUGCCCGGUAGCUAAAUGCGGAAGAGAUAAGUGCUGAAAGCAUCUAAGCACGAAACUUGCCCCGAGAUGAGUUCUCCCUGACCCUUUAAGGGUCCUGAAGGAACGUUGAAGACGACGACGUUGAUAGGCCGGGUGUGUAAGCGCAGCGAUGCGUUGAGCUAACCGGUACUAAUGAACCGUGAGGCUUAACCUU
rnacentral:rRNA from 1 species